rnacentral:rRNA from 1 species
CACUCUAACGAGACUGCCGGUAAUAAACCGGAGGAAGGUGGGGAUGACGUCAAAUCAUCAUGCCCCUUAUGACCUGGGCUACACACGUGCUACAAUGGUUGGUACAACGAGUUGCGAGUCGGUGACGGCGAGCUAAUCUCUUAAAGCCAAUCUCAGUUCGGAUUGUAGGCUGCAACUCGCCUACAUGAAGUCGGAAUCGCUAGUAAUCGCGGAUCAGCACGCCGCGGUGAAUACGUUCCCGGGCCUU